rnacentral:rRNA from 1 species
CAAAGGAAGCGAUUCCGGCAACGGAUGGGCAUGCGUGACAUUAGCUAGUUGGCGGGGCAACGGCCCACCAAGGCGACGAUGUCUAGGGGUUCUGAGAGGAAGGUCCCCCACACUGGUACUGAGACACGGACCAGACUCCUACGGGAGGCAGCAGUGAGGAAUAUUGGUCAAUGGGCGCGAGCCUGAACCAGCCAAGUCGCGUGAGAGAUGACGGCCCUACGGGUUGUAAACCUCUUUUGUCGGGGAGCAAAUUCCGCCACGCGUGGCGGAGUCGAGAGUACCCGAAGAAAAAGCAUCGGCUAACUCCGUGCCAGCAGCCGCGGUAAUACGGAGGAUGCGAGCGUUAUCCGGAUUUAUUGGGUUUAAAGGGUGCGUAGGCGGACUAUCAAGUCAGCGGUAAAAUACGGGGGCUCAACCUCCGCCCGCCGUUGAAACUGACGGUCUUGAGUGGGCGAGAAGUAUGCGGAAUGCGUGGUGUAGCGGUGAAAUGCAUAGAUAUCACGCAGAACUCCGAUUGCGAAGGCAGCAUACCGGCGCCCAACUGACGCUGAAGCACGAAAGCGUGGGUAUCGAACAGGAUUAGAUACCCUGGUAGUCCACGCAGUAAACGAUGAAUACUAGCUGUCCGGGGCGAAUGAGCCCUGG